rnacentral:rRNA from 1 species
ACGGCUCAGUAACACGUGGACAACCUACCCAAGAGUCAGGGAUAACCCCGGGAAACUGGGGAUAAUACCUGAUAGGCCACGACAUCUGGAAUCGAGUUGUGGUUUAAACGUAAGGCUCUUGGAUGGGUCUGCGGCGGAUUAGGUUGUUGCCGGUGUAACGUACCAGCAAGCCUGUAAUCCGUACGGGUUGUGGGAGCAAGAGCCCGGAGAUGGAUUCUGAGACACGAAUCCAGGCCCUACGGGGCGCAGCAGGCGCGAAAACUCUACAAUGCAGGCAACUGCGAUAGGGGAACAUCGAGUGGCACCCACCAUGGGUGUCUGUCCAGCCGUCUAAAAAACGGCUGUUAGCAAGGGCCGGGCAAGACCGGUGCCAGCCGCCGCGGUAAUACCGGCGGCUCGAGUGGUGGCCGAUAUUAUUGAGUCUAAAGGGUCCGUAGCCGGCUUUGCAAGUCCCCUGGGAAAUCCAGCGGCUUAACCGUUGGGCUUUCAUGGGAUACUACAUUGCUUGGGACUGGGAGAGGUAGGAGGUACUCAGGGGGUAGGGGUGAAAUCCUGUAAUCCUCUGGGGACCACCGGUGGCGAAGGCGUCCUACCAGAACAGGUCCGACGGUGAGGGACGAAAGCUAGGGGCACGAACCGGAUUAGAUACCCGGGUAGUCCUAGCCGUAAACGAUGCUCGCUAGGUGUCACGGCAGUCGUGAAUUGUCGUGGUGCCGUAGGGAAGCCGUGAAGCGAGCCACUUGGGAAGUACGACCGCAAGGUUGAAACUUAAAGGAAUUGGCGGGGGAGCAC